AGUGAACGCUGGCGGUAGGCCUAACACAUGCAAGUCGAACGGCAGCACAGUAAGAGCUUGCUCUUACGGGUGGCGAGUGGCGGACGGGUGAGGAAUACAUCGGAAUCUACUUUUUCGUGGGGGAUAACGUAGGGAAACUUACGCUAAUACCGCAUACGACCUACGGGUGAAAGCAGGGGAUCUUCGGACCUUGCGCGAUUGAAUGAGCCGAUGUCGGAUUAGCUAGUUGGCGGGGUAAAGGCCCACCAAGGCGACGAUCCGUAGCUGGUCUGAGAGGAUGAUCAGCCACACUGGAACUGAGACACGGUCCAGACUCCUACGGGAGGCAGCAGUGGGGAAUAUUGGACAAUGGGCGCAAGCCUGAUCCAGCCAUACCGCGUGAGUGAAGAAGGCCUUCGGGUUGUAAAGCCCUUUUGUUGGGAAAGAAAAGCAGCAGGUUAAUACCCGGCUGUUCUGACGGUACCCAAAGAAUAAGCACCGGCUAACUUCGUG
rnacentral:rRNA from 1 species